CCGAUUUGUUUACACAGCUGCUGCUGCUGUCGGGAUGGGAUGACUAAGGCGGUGUGCAAUGGGUUAAGAGAAUUAUUUGCCCAAAGCAUUACAAUGCCGUAUCGAUGGCACCCGCCGACCCGACCCAGAGGAGGAGGAGGCACGGCACCACUUUAAAUUCUGUUCACAAUCCCCCAAUGAAUACGGUAGGCAACGGAGCCAUGGCACCGAACCGUGAGCAGAUGCCGGUGGCCGACGACAAUUUGCCAUAAAUGCUGAUAAAGUUAAUUAACCAAUAGAAUUAGGAGGGGGGCCUGGAAGGGAGACGGGCAUGCAAAUCGUUAGAUGCUGACUCAGUCGUAAUGAGCAUGCCCAUGGUACAGUGGAGUGAAAGCAAUUGGGUAAUUGAUGAACAAAUGAAAACGUCUCUAAUUAAGAUUCUGUUUCUGAGAGACACUGGAAACUGGAAACUCGUUUAAUCUGGAAAGUGGAUUGCUGCCAGGCAGGAAUCACCAUUCCCAUACAUCAAAUCGGGGACAAAAGUACUUGUUGCGGUGCCAGGCAAUGGGCGCGGAGGAACACAACUCCCUGCCACAAGGUUAUUGAUAGAUGAUUGGUAAAACCAAUAAAGCUUCUGCCUCCUCUUCCUC